CUUUCAAUUCGCGCCGCCUGUCCCUAUAUUGCGAGGUGCCGGCGCAAGCCGGCUAUGGCGAUAAACGGCGACCGAAAUAAACCCAUCGGACCCGGGGGCGGUACCCGGCGCCUCCACCAAAGCCCAGGCUCCUUCCUGGGUUUUGGCGGGGGCGAAAUAGGAUCGACGAGGGCGUAAAGGGUGGCUUUUCGCUCGGCAUGGUUCCGCCGUUAUCGGGCCGACUCAAUAGUUGCCAACGACAACUAUGCUCCGGUAGCGGUGGCCGCGUAAGCGGUCAUUGACACCGAUCCAAAGUCCUGACGGGUAGCACCGGCAGGCGGGGUUCGGAGGCACCUGGCAACAGAAGCCUCCA
rnacentral:tmRNA from 1 species